rnacentral:rRNA from 1 species
GCCAAACUGCUAGCCCGACUACUCAGGCCGAAAUUAACCAAUACUCAGCCAGCCACAACGUCAACACACCCAUUAAAUCAUUUUUCCCCCCUAGUACGGGCGACAGAAAAGGACCACCCCGGAGCUAUAGACAAAGUACCGCAAGGGAAUGCUGAAAGAGUUGUGAAAUAGUUCGAUCAAGCAGAAAACAGCAGAGAUUACAUCUCGUACCUUUUGCAUCAUGAUCUAGUUAGUACAUUUAAGCGAAGCGCCCUCUAGUUUAUCCCCCCGAAACCAGACGAGCUACCUCGGGACAAUUUUAUAGAAUGCACCCACCUCUGUGGCAAAAGAGGAGGGAAGAUCCCCAGGUAGAGGUGAAAGGCCUACCGAGUCUAGUUAUAGCUGGUUGCCUGGAAAAUGAAUAGAAGUUCAGCCCCCUAAACCCCCUAGCCAACAUAGGACCCCUUAACGCAGGCAACGGGCGAAGUAGGGGAGUUAGUCAAGAGAGGUACAGCUCUCCUGACCAAGGAAACAACCUGCCAAGGAGGUCGAGGAAUAAAGUUAUCAAAGGCAAGGGGUUUUGGUGGGCCUAAAAGCAGCCACCCCAGCAGAAAGCGUUACAGCUCAGACCCCCUCACGCCUAAUAUACCAUUAAGUUCUCCCCAGCCCCCCCCCUUACCAGGCCUUCCCAUGCAAACAUGGAAGAGAAGAUGCUAGAACGAGUAACAAGAAGAACGAACUUCUCCCCGCACAUGUGCUAGCCGGAUCGGACCUACCACCGGCAUAUAACGAACCCAACACCAGAGGGCAGCACGUCCCUCACUACGUUUAUCAAGAAAAGAGAGUGCCUCUUAUCGUUGACCCCACACAGGAGUGCCUACGGGAAAGACUUAAAGGGAGAAAAGGAACUCGGCAAACCAAAACCUCGCCUGUUUACCAAAAACAUCGCCUCCUGCCCUCACACCAUAGGAGGUCCCGCCUGCCCUGUGACCCAAAGUUUAACGGCCGCGGUAUUUUAACCGUGCAAAGGUAGCGCAAUCAAUUGUCUUUUAAAUGAAGACCUGUAUGAAUGGCAUCACGAGGGUUUAGCUGUCUCUUUUCCCCAGUCAGUGAAACUGAUCUGCCCGUGCAGAAGCGGGCAUACCCCCACAAGACGAGAAGACCCUAUGGAGCUUUAGGCGCCCGCUAACCGCAAAUAGCGGCCUCACCCCUAAUUGUCGCGGUUCUAUGCAAAGCGCCUUCGGUUGGGGCGACCACGGGAGAUAGCAAAGCUCCCGAGAGGAAAGGGCUUUUAGCCUGAAGCUCAGAGAGACAUCUCUAGGCCGCAGAACAUCUGACCUUGAAUGAUCCGGCUACUGCCGAUCAACGGACCAAGUUACCCUAGGGAUAACAGCGCAAUCCCCUCCCAGAGUCCAUAUCGACGAGGGGGUUUACGACCUCGAUGUUGGAUCAGGACAUCCUAAUGGUGCAGACGCUAUUAAGGGUUCGUUUGUUCAACGAUUAAAGUCCUACGUGAUCUGAGUUCAGACCGGAGUAAUCCAGGUCAGUUUCUAUCUGUAAAGCCACCCCUCCUAGUACGAAAGGACCGGAGUGGUGAGGCCCCUGCCCCCGGUAAGCCUCCCCCUGACCCUAUGACUUCAACUAAAUAGGACAAAAGGGGGCCAACCUGCAGCCCCAGAUAAGGGCCA